UCAUCUGGAAAAAAGCAAAAUUAAUUAUAAAAAACUGUUUUUAUUUCAUUUAAGCAAAAGUCUUCGGAGUGCCGAAACUUUAACCCCUUUGCAAACACAAAUGGCACAAAUUAACUUUGCGGAAUUACGGAUUUUUUUCUCCUAAAAGUAAAUAAUUGGGCCAAAGAUUAAACAGAGUUUUAUUGAUAACCUAGUCAGGUCCGUCUGUCUGUCCGUAUGUAUAAACGCCUCGUUCUCAAGGCCUUUAGGAUCUAGAUAAUGUAUGUUGAAUAUAGGUCCUCCUAGUAACUGAGCAGUACGAGUAUCCAUUCCAUUUUCAUAAAAUCUAUAUCGAAACCUAGUAUUUUAAAGAUAUAUCGAUGCUUUUACAAAUUGCAGACCAAUACUAAUUCCCCAAAAGAAAAAAUAAAAGAAAAAAUCUAUUUGCAAAGAAAUAGUAUUUAGCCUUAAUAUCCACCCACAUUAAGUUGCCCUAUUUCAUGCCCGAAAAAUAAACAGCUUAACAAAUCAGGAGAGUAUUUCACAGGUUCUAAGCGCAGGUAACGGAGGUUCUCCUUACAGUGAAUAUUCUGGAUCUGCAUGUACGAAAACCUACAAACUAGUUCUUUAAAACCUUUCAUUAAUAAUUAAUUAUUAAUUAAUUAAUAACAAAUUUUUGCAUUAUAGAUGCUGCUGAAAUACAGUACACAUACAUGCGUAUAUUCAAUCCUGGCGACAAGUACACGCACACAAUACAAAUGCGACAUUUGUGUCUGAUGUGCAUCCAUUUAAUCAUUUCUACACACAUUGCCAUAAGAACACGGUGUCUACUGCAUUGCCAGAAAACUGGCACCAAUCAUGAAUGUGUAUGUAUGCAUGUACAUAUGUGGAUAUGUGCUUGUAGUUGUAAAUCCUUAUGUUGCCAGAUCGAUGUGGACACAAAUAUUAUUUGUACAUAUUUAAAUGCAACAAAAACACUCACCCCUUUCACACAUAAUACGCUUGCAUUCAUUCAAUUCAUGGUUACAAAUUACGAGAGUACGAUAUAUGUAUGUUUGCAUACAUUUGAUUAACAUUAAUUUGUAAUUGGUCGUUGGAAGCAUCAACUGUAAGAUUUAACACACGUGCCCGACAUACAUAUUUAUUUACAAACAUAUUUAUAUAAAUAUGUUUGCGUGUUAGGCACGUUGAUGGUGCUGCUCCUGAUACCUUCAGGUAUUAAAUACAUACAUUUGUUUGUGUGUGUGUGUGUGUGUGUGUGUGUAUUAACUGUGCGUCUUGUUUACGGUAAGAAAUGCCUGCUCAUUCAAAACAUGUAUACACACAUACGCAUUUGUAUCGUAUGUAUAUAUUAAACCAUUCUUGAGUUGCCUGAGAAAGCGGCAAGCAUACAUUUCUACGUAUCUAUUUACCACCUUACAUACUUAUUACACAUACAUACAUAUUUAUGUAUAUACAUGCAUAUAUGGUCAAAUAAAAUUUGCUUUUAUAUGUACACUUUGUUUAUAAAUGCAUGUUUCUACAAGUUCAUCAAAACCUAAAUAGGAUUUAGAUACAUACAUUCAUUUUGUUAGUAUGUACACUUUGUUUAUAUCCACCAACAUAUAUUUUGUUUAUGCGACAUAUGUAUGUACCUUACAUUUUGUUUAUAUGGCACGAUAUUAUCAAUUAAUUGCGCACAAUCUGAUAUUUACAUAUAAAUGCAUCUAUAAAUGCAUGUACGUAUUUAUUUAAUGUAACACACUUCCAUCGCUUUUAGUUGUAAAUAUGUAUGUAAAUGUCACGAAACGUACAGAAACGCGUCCAAAAGAAAUAAAGAAGCGCGUUGAGUUUUACUAUGAACGGAAAAUUGUAAA